rnacentral:rRNA from 1 species
UACAGAGGUCUCAAGCGUUGUUCGGAUUCAUUGGGCGUAAAGGGUGCGUAGGCGGCGCGGUAAGUCGGGUGUGAAAUCUUGGAGCUUAACUCCGAAACUGCAUUCGAUACUGCCGUGCUUGAGGACUGGAGAGGAGACUGGAAUUUACGGUGUAGCGGUGAAAUGCGUAGAUAUCUGGAGGAAUACCGGUGGCGAAGGCGGCGUUCUGGACUGCAACUGACACUGAUGAACGAAAGCCAGGGGAGCAAACGGG